UAAAAAUUUAUUUUAAAUCUAAUAUGGCAGAUUAGUGCAUUGGAA
rnacentral:tRNA from 1 species